GACGAACGCUGGCGGCGUGCUUAACACAUGCAAGUGGAGCGACGAACCAGGGCUUGCCCUGGGGCAGAGCCGCGAACGGGUGAGUAACACGUGGGUAACGUGCCCCGAUGAUCGGGACAACCCGGGGAAACCCGGGCUAAUACCGAAUGUCGCUCCCCUCACACCCAGUGAGGGAUGGAAAGGAAGCUUUGGCCCUCCGCAUCGGGAUCGGCCCGCGGCCCAUUAGCCUUGUUGGUGAGGUAACGGCU
rnacentral:rRNA from 1 species